rnacentral:rRNA from 1 species
UACGAAGGGGCUAGCGUUGCUCGGAAUCACUGGGCGUAAAGGGUGCGUAGGCGGGUCUUUAAGUCAGGGGUGAAAUCCUGGAGCUCAACUCCAGAACUGCCUUUGAUACUGAAGAUCUUGAGUUCGGGAGAGGUGAGUGGAACUGCGAGUGUAGAGGUGAAAUUCGUAGAUAUUCGCAAGAACACCAGUGGCGAAGGCGGACUCACUGGCCCGAUACUGACGCUGAGGCACGAAAGCGUGGG